CAGUUUCUUUGAUGCAACUUGUCUUGGGGAAAUUGAAGAUAAAGCUCCUCUUUUGCCUCAAAUUGAUCCCGACCAUGUCCCUAAACCUUGUUUUAGUCGAAGGGAACUCUAAAAGUGUUAUCCAUUGGGCUAAGUUCGAAAAUGAUGAGCCGUGGCUUCUUGGUUUCAUCUUUUCUGAGAUCAGAGACAUUUUUGUAAAGGUCAAAUUCGUUGUGGAUGUUUUUAUUUUUAUUUUUAUUUUUUUUAUAGAGUGACAAUUUCAUUAAAAUAUUAUGAGUAGACUACAUAAAUCGCAGUGGAGAUGACCUUAUCAUCACUCCACUUUGACUCGAGAAGCAUUACAAGCAGAAAAACUGAUAAUACAUGCAACAACCUAAAAUCUCAAUCACUACAGAAAUCGCUGUGAAUGUAUUGCCUAUGAAUUUACUUGUAAAUGGAAAUUCAUGAUGUUCUCCUAGCUUCAUUGCUGACAAAGAAUGCUGAUUUCCAAUCAUCAACAAAAGAAGAAGAAGAUUUUCGGACACCUUUUUCAUCAGAACAUAUUAUUGAUGAAAUCCAUACAACUCUCCAGUGGUUCCAUUCCUUCUGACUCUAGGUCAACCCAACCUGAUAGGGAAGAAGAGGAUCAGCCAACUGGUUGCCAAGUCUAGCAGGUAUGCGACCCCCAAGCAGUGGGCGGCUCCACUUUGUACAUUUGCUGAGCAGACCUAUUGGGAAGGGAACUUAUUGCUGAAGGAGGCAGUAGGAAUUCUUGGGUUGGGAUGCACGGCUCCACUACGUUCACCAACGCCUUGCUGUCAAAUGGGCUUGGAGAUUUGUGAUGCAGCUAGAGCCGGCGUGGGCUAGGCAUAUAAGAGCUGAUGUCUCUUCCAUAGGGGCAAUUCUUCAUGUCCAUUACUGUUCUUUGCUUCUAGGUUCAUCCAUUUUCAACUCCUGGGUUGCUAUCGGACAUCACCUGACGGCAGGGGAUUUCAUAAAUGGAUGUUCAUGAUUCUAGCUUGGUCCCUAGACAUAACAUGCUGGUAUGAUUCAUUGAUUAAAGGAGAUAAAUAGUUUCAGCACCAAGCUUAUUCAAAGUCCUGAGAUUAACACAUCUGAGCCGAUUUUUCGAAGUAGUUGGUGAAUGCUGUCUUGAAGUAGAUGUUGAAUAGUCUUCAUCUUCCACUACCUGUUUGCUUCCCACUUAUCAACUCCUCACAAUCGGAGCAUUGGAAAGAAGGCUGCUAUGUUUUGGGAUCCUAUUAUUGAAACAGUUAAAAGAAGGUUAGCUUCUCAGAAGCAUUCCUAUCUCUCCAUGCAUGGUAAAAUCGCUCUCACAAAAUCGGCACUAUCCAAUCUCCUUGUCCAUUUCCUCUCCCUCUUCAAAAUGCCAGUCAGGGUUGUAAAAAGAAUAGAGAAAUUUCAAAGAUAGUUCUUUUGGGGAGAAGGGAAAGAGGAAGGUGACAAGUUUCAUCUCCUACAAUGGAAGUGCAAAAACCGAAGACAGACUGUGUAUUAGGACUGCUGAAGGAUCAAUUGGGCUUUGCUAGUGAAGUGGUGGUGGAGGUCUAGUGAAGAGUCGGAGGCAUUGCAGACUGAUGUCAUCCGCAUAGAACAUGGUGUUUCAAAAGGGCAAUGAUUCCCUGGGACCCCAGCCAUGAAUGUAGGUUUGGAUGUGUAGAGAGCCAUUAGCUUGAUUGGCAAAGACUUAAGAGUCAUGAGAGCAGGAGCCUUUCAAACAGCAUAUGCAAGUGCUUCAGGUCAGGUAUUCAAUUCAAUAUUGGUCAGGGGGACCGUGAGUGGCGUGGUGCAUGGUUGGGUGACACACUGCUAGAAGAAUCUUUCUGUUUCCUUUUUUGCCUCUUGGCAAAUAAAGAGACCAAAGUGUCUGAUUGCUAUGAAAAUGUCAGACUUAGUUGCAGGAUCCUUCUAACUAGGUGCUGCACCCACUUCGGACUCUCGAUCCUGCUAGCCAUUUAUACUUGUUUCCAUUUUGAAAGAGACGCUUCCCUUCUUUCACACCCGAAUUUGUUGCCGCUUUGCUUCACUCUUCAUGCAACUAUAGUCAGGGACUAUGGUUUGGAAUGUCAUGCUUCAUAGGAAUCUGCAUGAGGACUGGAUAAAUGAUUUCAAUAAGCUUAUGGUGAAAUUGCAGGAGAUCUUAUGUGAUCCCUUGAUUGUUCAUUGGAAGGUUUUGGAAAUCGGCAUACAAUGGUACCUUCUCUUCCAAGUUGUUUCACUGAGUCUUCUAUGCUUUAGAUUGUGUUGCGUUGCUGUUAGCAAAGGUGUGGUGGAUUCCAGCUCUGCAUAGGGUUCAAGCAUUUGUUUUGGUUGCCAUGGCCAAUAAAAUCCUCGCUUCGAGAAUCUUAAAAAAGAGGAACUUUUUCCUAAUAGGUGCAUCAUGUGCAAGGUGUGAGGAACUAGGGAACCACUGUUUCCUCCAUGUAGUUUUGGGGAGAAGUCGAAGUCACUUCUUUAAGCCUUUCCGGGGGUCCUAGUCUCCUAGAUUGUCAAUGCUUCUCUCUCUAAUCUCUCCGAGGGUUGGAGAAAGGUCCAUUUCACACCUUGGGGUAUAUUAUUUGGAAGAUGAUUCCUUUGGUUAUCAUUUGGAGAUUUUGAACGAGAGAAACCUCAGAAUCUUUGAGGACAGAGUCUUCGGUGGUGGAGAUAUCCUGGACCAUCAAUGUUUCCCUCUUGGAUCUCAUUGAGGAUUGGAGAAAGCUCCGUUCCACACCUGGGGUAAUAUUAUUUGGAAGAUGAUUCCUUUGGCUAUCAUUUGGGGGAUUUGAAAGGAGAGAAACCUCAGAAGCUUUGAUGGUGUUGUCCAAGUGGACAAUUCAAUUCUUGCAAUCCAUGUUAUCCCUAAUCCUGAGCUUAGAGGGAUUUCCCUCCCCGAUCUUAUUCACAAUUGGUUGUCUACUGUCUCGACUAUGGAUCAGGGUUGUUGGUUGCUUCCUCAUUUCUUUCUGUUUGCUUUAGUAGGGUUUUUUUUAUUUUUUAUUUUUCCAUUUGGCUUUGGGGGAGGCUGUCCCUUCAGGCUCUCUUUUUCUUCUUCUUAUUUAUUUAUUUUAUUACUAUGUUGGUGAUGGCCUAUCAUCAGCUAUCAAGGUUUAAAGUGUUAUCCAAAACCUCGUGAUAUGAACUGGUUUCACCCAUUACGACACAGCUGUUUGAACCCCGUAUUGGCCUGAAACUGCCCAAAAUAGGCAAUACGGGAUUGGUGGUGAAAGAUGCGAUACUUGAUAUGUUGAUUUUAAACCUUCUGAACUAUGCUUAAUUUGUAGCUUGCUUCUGGGUUUCAAUAAAAGUCUCAUUAUGAUUCAAGAAGAUAAUAAUAAUAGUACCAUCAAGACAUUAGAAGGUACAUUCAUUAUCCCUAGUGAAGUGGGAUUUACAUGAUAAACUCUUGGUGAAUGUUUAGAUGUGUUGUGGUUAGGAAUGAAAACCCUUUCCUGUAUGAAGGAAUUAAUACUGGCCUGGUGUGAGAAAGUAAUAGCUCAUUUCUAUAUACAAUAGAUACCAUGCAUAUAAGGUUAUGACCCUAUAUGUAGUUAAGAUGAUGAAUUUACAGAUAAUGUCCAUGCUGAAUCACAAUCUUUACAGAUACUUAAAAGACAUGUUCUGAUAUCCCUUGCAUCAUCUGGGUCCAUUCUGUGUUCAUCAGUGUCAUUUAGCCUUCAAUAUCACUCUUACUCUAGAUUGAUCAUGAUAAGAUGUUGAUGAGGAGCUGGUUGCAGAUAUAUGAUGUUGUGAGGCACAGUUUAAAAAAAAAAAAAAGAAGAAGAAACUUGACUUGAUUCAAUGUCUAACCAGGUUGGGUCAACUCGAAAAUCGACCGAGUCUUUCAUCAACUUGACUUAAUGUUUUAAUAAUUAAAUUUUUAGUAUGUAGUAGCAUUAAAAUGGUUGGAAAUUCAUACAGCAAUUAAAAUAUCAGAAGUAGUACACAACUGCAUGGUGUGGUACGUUGGUAGCAUCUUCCCUGUUUGAUUGGCAAAGCUGGUGAGCUUGUCUUUUCUAUUCUUGCCUGCUGCGAUUUUAAUUUCAAAACAAAAUGCAGCUGAUUGGGCAUGUGACUUGGUUGAGUUCAGCCAAGUUGUUGUCCGACUCAAUGAGUCAUGUCGAAUCCCGACUGAGUUAUACCAGUCAGCAAGUUUCCAUAAGACUUGGCUGGAAAUCUAGUCGAGGCCAGUUGAUUCAGCUGAGUUUCAAGUUGACCCAUCGAGUUUUAAAACUAUGUUAUGUGGUUCAAAAUUCACCUAUAAAGAGAAAAAGAAAAAAGAAAAAAAAAAAAAGAAGAAGAAAGAAAUGAAUUAGAGAACAGGAACACAAUUCAAGAAUAUAUAUCCUCUGGGUGCACGAGAAGGUAUGUAUUACAUCUGGCAGUGUUCUUGAGUUCCAUACUUCUAUGGUCAAAUGGUAACAUAGCUUAAUAAGUGAGGAUCAUGUUUAUUCAUAUGUUUAGAUAUGAUAUUUCCUCUGUAAAUUGAGCUUGUUCCUGGGAUUGACAAGGUAGCUGUUGAGAAAUCGGAGAUGGAGAUGAAAAUGCUAGGAGGAGAUGACGUGAGAAGUUGAAAGAUACAGCUUCAAAAAAUCGAGGAAUCAGAAGGCAGUUUCUCGAAUAGAUUUUGAAAUGUCAAAUUGUCAAGCCUUUGGGAAUCAUCUGACAUCCCCAUGUGAGUCAUUUGUACAUGGAGUGUUGCUUUUCUGAAUGGAUGCUGCAUGUGAAUUUGGCUGUCAAUAUUUCUGGGUGGAGCAGGCACCAUUUGUUUGUUGGUUGAUCUAUAUUUCCACUAUCAUUGGUAGCCUAGCUAAAGGAAACUGUAUUCAGAUGUGCUCCUCACGCAUCUAUUUUUGC